rnacentral:rRNA from 1 species
CCCCUAGAUGUUCUGGGCCGCACGCGCGCUACACUGAACAGUUCAACAAGUCUUAACCUUGGCCGAUAGGUCUGGGUAAUCUUUGAACGCUGUUCGUGAUUGGGAUAGACCUUUGCAAUUAUGGGUCUUCAACGAGGAAUUCCUAGUAAACGCAAGUCAUCAGCUUGCAUUGAUUACGUCCCUGCCCUUUGUACACACCGCCCGUCACACCUACCGAUUGAAUGGUCCGGUGAAAUCUCGGGACGGCGGCUUGGUCGCUUGCGUCCGACUGCUGAAACUUGAUUAAACCAUAUCAUUUAGAGGAAGGUGANGUCGUNACA